GAUGAACGCUAGCUACAGGCUUAACACAUGCAAGUCGAGGGGAAACGACAUCGAAAGCUUGCUUUUGAUGGGCGUCGACCGGCGCACGGGUGAGUAACGCGUAUCCAACCUGCCCAUCACUUGGGAAUAACCUUGCGAAAGUAAGACUAAUACCCAAUGACAUCCCACGAAGACAUCUGAAUGGGAUUAAAGAUUUAUCGGUGAUGGAUGGGGAUGCGUCUGAUUAGCUUGUUGGCGGGGUAACGGCCCACCAAGGCAACGAUCAGUAGGGGUUCUGAGAGGAAGGUCCCCCACAUUGGAACUGAGACACGGUCCAAACUCCUACGGGAGGCAGCAGUGGGGAAUAUUGGUCAAUGGGCGAGAGCCUGAACCAGCCAAGUAGCGUGCAGGAUGACGGCCCUAUGGGUUGUAAACUGCUUUUAUAAGGGAAUAAAGUGGGUCUCGUGAGACUUUUUGCAUGUACCUUAUGAAUAAGGACCGGCUAAUUCCGUG
rnacentral:rRNA from 1 species